CAAAGAAUAGUUUAAACAGAAUACUAGCUUUGGGAGUUAGAGGCGGGGGUUUGAUUCCCUCUUCCUUGA
rnacentral:tRNA from 1 species